rnacentral:lncRNA from 1 species
GUGGUAGUGGGGUAUCUUGAACAUCUUCCUUUUUAUCUGCACUGAGAACAAUUCUCAGGUUACGGAUCCAAUCCGAGUAGUUUGUUCCAUUCAACUUGUCCUUCUCAAGGACCAAACGCAAAGCAAAUGGUGUGAUGUUGCUAGGUGCCAUUUAAUCUACAACAAAAGCAAUGCAAAAUACACUAAGAAAAACGUAUCCAUGAUAGAGCAAAUCACAUUAAACUAUUUUAACAGAAUCUAC